CUACGGGACGCUGCAGGUACGAAAACUUUCCAAUGCCUUAACGGGUGAGAAGGGAACCCCGAGUGGCUAUGCAUAGCAUAGCCUUUUGUUUUGCCUAAAGAGCAAGACGAAUAAGUGGUGGGUAAGACGGGUGGCAGCCGCCGCGGUAAUACCCGCGCCACGAGUGGUGAUCGCGAUUAUUGGGUCUAAAGCGUCCGUAGCCGGUUCAGUGAGUUCUUGGUGAAAUCUACUAGCUAACUAGUAAGCUUGCUGAGAAUACUGCUGGACUUGGGAUUGGGAGAGGAUAGAGGUAUUCCAUGGUAGGGGUUAAAUCCUUUAAUCCAUGGAGGACCACCGGUGGCGAAGGCGUCUAUCUGGAACAAGUCCGACGGUGAGGGACGAAAGCUAGGGGAGCAAAUGGGAUUAGAUACCCUCGUAGUC
rnacentral:rRNA from 1 species